GGAAGGAGACUCACGGAAGGACGCGGAUGGAAGGAGGUGGACGGAAGUAGGCCGAAGGAAGGAAGCUGAAGGAAGGAAUUGUAUGGAAGGAGGCGGACGGAAGGAAUCGUACAGAAGGAGGCUGAGGAAGGAGGCUAAAGGAAGGAGGCGGAUGGAAGGAGGCUGAAGGAAGGAGGCGGACGGAAGGAGGCUGAGGGAAGGAGGCGGACGGAAGGAAGCUGAUGGAACACUGGGACAUUGUAACUGGCCUGUAACAUCAGCAGACCUCAGUCACCUGUGGGGUCAUUUAAAACAGCAAGUGAACCACAAGUGACAGGAUUGCUGCUGUUAUUUAGGUGAGAGGAAGAGUAACCAUGUAUCCCAGAAGAAAUGAAACACGCAACUCAUUUUUGGUCUGGGGAGCUUAUUGUAAAGACACAGUAUUUCUGAUUAUCAACGCAGUACUCCUAGGUGUUGAUUUCCAAAUAGAGUAAAAUAAAUUUGCUCUAAAAUUAUUUAAGGUCUUCUAGUUCAGUUUAUGGAGGGCAUGGUGGCUUAGAUCGUAGUACGUUUGCCUGGCACCUCCGUGGUUGGGGGUUCGAAUCCUGCGUCUGCCCGGUGUGUGCGGAGUUGGCAUUCUCUCGUUGUACUCCGAGGGUUUCCUCCGGUUUCCUCCUCCAGUCCAAAGACAUGUGUUGUAGGCUGAUUGGAAUUUCCAAAUUGUCCGUAGUGUGUGAAUAGGUGUGUGAUUGUGCCCUGUGAUGGGUUGGCACCCCGUCCAGGGUGUCCCCCGCCUCGUGCCCCGAGUUCCCUGGUAUAGUCUCCAGGCUCCCCUGCGACUUUGUGUGGGAUAUGCAGUACAGAAGAUGGAUGGAUAGUCCAGUUUAUAAUCACAUUAAAAACCAAUCCAACUGAGCACAUUAAAUGACUGAUUCAUGACCGCGAGUUUUCCCCCCAUCAUCACAUUAUUUACACAGAAUAUUUAAGUAUAUUGGAUAGAUGUUUUUUGGGACAAUUUUUAUUUCAUGAUUUAUUUUAUUAAAAAGGAGUUUGUUUAGAGAGACACCACAGAGAUUAUAGUUAUUAGCUGUUCAUGACAGACAAGGAUUUUGACGUUUGAGUAAACAAACAGUAAAGUUAAACAUUUUGGUUGUGGACUACACGACUGUAUUGGAAUCACUCACGUAAACAGAAUUGUUGCGUUUCCUCGUUAAUAAGAGUGUGCUGGAUCCACCAUCAUUUCAUUAUCGAGGAAUGUCUUAAUAAUGUUAAGCUCCAUCUGAGUGAUACCCAAGUUUUGGUAAUGUCCUGCAGGCUGGCCAAGGUGUCCAGUGAUGACCUGCGUCAGCUUCGUCCGUCUACGGAUCGGUCUUCAGAUACUUUCAUCAUCACUCAUGUCCCAAAUCUGGAACGCAAAAUAGAAAGAAAAGAAUGUUGAAAUGGUGUAUGUAAAGAAUGAAACAUGACGGGGUGUGCUGUUAUAGGAAAUAAUAACAGCCUGAUGCAUCUUUAAUAAUUAAAGAACAACUUGUCAUACUUUUUAUCCAUUUAUAGUCACAUUUAAAGCUGUGGAAUGUCCACAAAACAAGUUAGCUAGUGGUAUCAAUUGUG
ensembl:lncRNA